AGAGGGCUCUGUAUCUGGGCAUGUAGACCUGUGUUAGCGCACGUGUGGGCGUGUCGGCGUGUGUGCAUGUGGACUUCUGUGUUGGUGUAUACAUCCAUGCAUAUGAGUGUAUAUGGAAGUGUGCGGGUGCGUGUGCUCCCUCACAAUGCCAGGCGCUGCUGAGCUUCUGUCCGAAGGAUCGAGUUCCUCAUCUUUGACCCAGCGCCACGACCCUGUCUGGCUUAGAGAAGAACAGAAGCUGAAAAAAAGACUGAUGAGUGACUCAGGGAGCUGACCUGAAAACCCAAAGAAGCGGCCAUGACCCGUCCAUCAUCAGAACAGAUCUGCCAUUUCCUCCUUCAAGCAAGGAGGAAGACCAACAAGCAUCAGCUGGGUAUCAUCCUCCAGUGCUAAAUGGGUCCCCCAGAAAAUAAAGGUUUGCUAGAAUAAAAGAAUAAGAAUAAAGAUGGAAAAGCAAACAAAACCAACACCACCAAAGAGGCUGGCCCACAUCAAACCAACAGCCCUAGAUCUGUGAGGUUUUUCCACCAAGCACCAGAGAAGGUCACUGGAAAAUUAGGAACAAUCUCAAUCCCAAAGGAAUCCCCAUGGGACCAGAUGCAUCACUGCAAAUAUAAGAGAAGAAACAAACAGGGGGAAAUAUUUACAACAUUUAUAACAGUGGGUUACUAUCUCUAAUACGUAAAGAGUUUUUGCAAAUCAACAUGAACACUGAUGAAAAUUACUAUCUAAUUGAAAAAACAAACAAGUCACUUAUAGAUCAAUAAGCACAACCGGCUAUUGAACUUAGGAAAAGAUGCCCAAAGUCUUCAAAAUCUAAAAAAAAAAAGCAAGUGAAAAUACUGGGAUAAUAUAUUUUGUCUCUGAUAUUGGUAAAUACAUAAAAUACAAAUGUUAUCUAUGAUUGGUGAGAGAAUGAUGAAAAUUAAGUUUUGUACACUGUUGAAGGGAAUAUAAACUGAUGUUAAUAAACUGGUAAAUUUGUUAGACGAUUUGGUCAUAUCUCUUAGAAGUU